GCUGGCGGCAUGCCUAAUACAUGCAAGUCGAACGCGUCUAGCAAUAGACGAGUGGCGGACGGGUGAGUAACGCGUGGGAACCUGCCCUUGAGUGCGGGAUAACCGAGGGAAACUUCGGCUAAUACCGCAUGCGCCCCCUCACGGGGGGAAAGAUUUAUCGCUCGAGGAGGGGCCCGCGUCGGAUUAGCUAGUUGGUGGGGUAACGGCCUACCAAGGCGAUGAUCCGUAGCUGGUCUGAGAGGAUGAUCAGCCACACUGGGACUGAGACACGGCCCAGACUCCUACGGGAGGCAGCAGUAGGGAAUAUUGGACAAUGGGGGCAACCCUGAUCCAGCAAUGCCGCGUGAGUGAUGAAGGCCUUAGGGUUGUAAAGCUCUUUCGCACGCGACGAUGAUGACGGUAGCGUGAGAAGAAGCCCCGGCUAACUUCGUGCCAGCAGCCGCGGUAAUACGAAGGGGGCGAGCGUUGUUCGGAAUUACUGGGCGUAAAGGGCGCGCAGGCGGCCGAUCAAGUCAGGCGUGAAAGCCCCGGGCUUAACCUGGGAAUUGCGCUUGGGACUGAUGGGCUAGAGUUCGGGAGAGGAGAGUGGAAUUCCCAGUGUA
rnacentral:rRNA from 1 species